rnacentral:rRNA from 1 species
UACAGAGGUGGCAAGCGUUGUUCGGAUUUAUUGGGCGUAAAGGGUGGGUAGGUGGUAAGGUAAGUUGGAUGUGGAAUUCCACAGCUCAACUGGGGAAUUGCAUCCAAAACUACUUUACUUGAGGAUCUGGGAAGAGAGUGGAAUUCUCGGUGUAGCGGUGAAAUGCGUAGAUAUCGAGAAGAACACCAGUGGCGUAGGCGGCUCUCUAUCAUAUUCCUGACACUAAGCCACGAAAGCGUGGGGAGCAAACGGG